AUGGGGGAGGCGCCGUGCAGCGUGGUGGCGCCGCGCCGUUCCCCGGCGCGCUUCCGCCUGCCGCGCCACGGGCUGCGCCGCAAGGUCCACGUCGUCCGGCUCGGGAACGGCGGUGACGGUGCCGGCGCACGGGCUGGCGGGGUCCGCGGCCUCUGCGGCCUCCGGCGUCGGAUCAAGCUCCGAUGGUUCCGCAGCGCCAUGUGGCGCCUGGCCGAGCUCUGCGUGGCGGUGCUGUCGGGGCCCCCGGGGACGGCCGACGCCCCGCCGUCGUGGACCGGCGUGGAGCCGUGCUUCGCCGCGCCCUUCCUGCCGGCCGCGCUGGUGAGGCGCGCGGGGCAGGAGUAG
rnacentral:rRNA from 1 species